rnacentral:rRNA from 1 species
GCGCGGUGGUCCCACCUGACCCCAUGCCGAACUCAGAAGUGAAACGCCGUAGCGCCGAUGGUAGUGUGGGGUCUCCCCAUGCGAGAGUAGGAAACUGCCAGGC